AUGUCAUUGGAGGCGCUCUGCCUCACCUAUGCACCCCUGCUUCCAUCUCCCUCCACCGCCGCCCUCCCUUACGCCUCCGCAGUUCUUGGCGCCGCGGCUGUUGCCCCGCACUGGAUCGACGCACCGCUAUCGCUCUGCCGCCGCGUACAGAGAGUUCAACGCCGCAACCCCCGUCCGUUCAAUCUCGCCGCCAUGGGUGUGCCCCACUCCAACUCCCUCGCUUGUGCUUCCGUGGUGAAACAGUGCAACCUGCAGGAGGAACUCUCUNNNNNNNNNNNNNUCCAACUCGGCAGUCCAAAUCGGCAUGAUUCACGUCAUCGUUGGCCCCAUGUUCGCUGGCAAGACCACCGCGCUUCUCUGGCAGCACCGACAGCACCAUGCUCAGUCCAACCCCGUGGCUUCAGGGUGGCCGAGUUUGUCGUGACCAUCAGUUCGGAGGCCUGCAUCACUGCGCGUGUCGCUACCAUGCCCCCCUGUGUCACUGCAUGCUCCGUCAACAGCCUCCUGCACAAGGAAAAGCAACAGGAGUAG
rnacentral:rRNA from 1 species